GUAAUUUAUAAGAACUACAGGACCGACCGAUCCUGCUGCUGCCCGGCCCGGCUCACUGACACCGACCACAUCCGGCCCGGACUUCAGAAUAAAAGCACCGUCAGGAGGUUGAUGGACCACUCUCUGUCCCGCUAUCCCGCUGACGUCCCGCCUCCUCCGCUGUGAUUGGUCAGGGCUCUGGCAUCUCGUAUGUUACGUUACGCUCUCUCACCAUCACUCGGCACCCCCUGCAGUUCAAUGGUGGUGGUGCGAGCCUUCUUCUUGGCCGGCCCUCCUUCAGACGAAG